AUUGAACGCUGGCGGCAGGCUUAACACAUGCAAGUCGAGCGAGCGGCGGACGGGUGAGUAAUGUCUGGAAAAUUGCCUGAUGGGGGGGGAAAACUACUGGAAACGUUAGCUACACCCGAAUACCAUCAGAUUGGCCCAGAGGGGAUUAGCUAGUAGGUGGGGUAAUGGCUCACCUAGGCAACGAUCCCUAGCUGGUCUGAGAGGAUGACCAGCCACACUGGAACUGAGACACGGUCCAGACUCCUACGGGAGACAGCAGUGGGGAAUAUUGCACAAUGGGCGCAAGCCUGAUGCAGCCAUGCCGCGUGUGUGAAGAAGGCCUUCGGGUUGUAAAGCACUUUCAGCGAGGAGGCGUUACUCGCAGAAGAAGCACCGGCUAACUCCGUGCCAGCAGCCGCGGUAAUAC
rnacentral:rRNA from 1 species